AGCCCACCAAGGCUGAGAUCGGUAGCCGGCCUGAGAGGGCACACGGCCACACUGGCACUGAAACACGGGCCAGACUCCUACGGGAGGCAGCAGUGGGGAAUCUCGCACAAUGGGGGAAACCCUGAUGCAGCGACGCCGCGUGAGCGAUGAAGCCCUUCGGGGUGUAAAGCUCUUUCGGCAGGGAAGAUUAUGACGGUACCUGCAGAAGCAGCUGCGGCUAACUACGUGCCAGCAGCCGCGGUAAUACGUAGGCAGCAAGCGUUGUUCGGAGUUACUGGGCGUAAAGGGUGUGUAGGCGGUUGCUUAAGUUUGGUGUGAAAUCUCCCGGCUCAACUGGGAGGGUGCGCCGAAUACUGAGUGACUAGAGUGCGGGAGAGGAAAGUGGAAUUCCUGGUGUAGCGGUGAAAUGCGUAGAUAUCAGGAGGAACACCGGUGGUGUAGACGGCUUUCUGGACCGUAACUGACGCUGAAACACGAAAGCGUGGGUAGCAAACAGGAUUAGAUACCCUGGUAGUCCACGCCCUAAACGAUGCACAUUUGGUGUGGGUCAUUCAGUUGAUCCGUGCCGGAGCUAACGCGUUAAAUGUGCCGCCUGGGGAGUACAGUCGCGAGGCUGAAACUCAAAGGAAUUGACGGGGGCCCGCACAAGCGGUGGAGCAUGUGGUUCAAUUCGACACACGCGAAGAACCUUACCUGGGCUCGAACGGCCGGCUAACGGCGGUGGAAACAUCGCUACCCCGCAAGGGGGUCCGGUCGAGGUGCUGCAUGGCUGUCGUCAGCUCGUGUCGUGAGAUGUUGGGUUAAGUCCCGCAACGAGCGCAACCCUUGUCCUGUGUUGCCAUGCCGAAAGGCGGAACUCGCAGGAGACCGCCAGCGAUAAGCUGGAGGAAGGUGGGGAUGGCGUCAAGUCCUCAUGGCCUUUAUGUCCAGGGCUACACACGUGCUACAAUGGCCGGUACAAAGCGUCCCAAACCCGCGAGGGGGAGGCAAUCGCAAAAAACCGGUCUCAGUUCGGAUUGCAGGCUGCAACUCGCCUGCAUGAAGCUGGAAUCGCUAGUAAUGGCAGAUCAGCACGCUGCCGUGAAUACGUUCCCGGGCCUUGUACACACCGCCCGUCACAUCACGAAAGUGGAUUGUACUAGAAGUCUGCAGGCUGACCCGCAAGGGAGGCAGCGGCCCAAGGUAUGAUCCAUGAUUGGGGUGAAGUCG
rnacentral:rRNA from 1 species